UACAGAGGGUGCGAGCGUUAAUCGGAAUUACUGGGCGUAAAGCGUGCGUAGACGGUUAUUUAAGUCGGGUGUGAAAGCCCCGGGCUCAACCUGGGAAUUGCAUUCGAGACUGAAUAGCUAGGGUACGGUAGAGGGAAGUGGAAUUUCCGGUGUAGCGGUGAAAUGCGUAGAUAUCGGAAGGAACAUCAGUGGCGAAGGCGGCUUCCUGGACCGACACUGACGCUGAGGCGCGAAAGCUAGGGGAGCAAACGGG
rnacentral:rRNA from 1 species